CAACACGUGGAUAAUUUAGUUGAAUUUAGUUUGUAUGGAAUUUGGUUUUUUAAAGGUCCAAUAUUGAUAUUAUAAAAAGGAUUAGCCCUGUUGGAAAAUAGUUAUUCUAAAUGGUGUUAUCCAUAGAAAUUAAAACAAAAGAUGAUGAAAUGGCGUAAAGAUGGCGGGGUGAAGAAGGUUGAGGAGAAGGAGGAUAAAUACUGGUUAAACCUAGAGACACCAGAUCAGAGAAAAUCCAGAAUACGUUCCUUGUAUAUUGUACAUCUCGCUAUGCUCGUUUUCUCGCUUGGAUUUUCUAUCGUUCUUACAGGUAU